GAUGAACGCUGGCGGCGUGCCUAAUACAUGCAAGUCGAGCGAACAGACGAGGAGCUUGCUCCUCUGACGUUAGCGGCGGACGGGUGAGUAACACGUGGAUAACCUACCUAUAAGACUGGGAUAACUUCGGGAAACCGGAGCUAAUACCGGAUAAUAUAUUGAACCGCAUGGUUCAAUAGUGGAAGACGGUUUUGCUGUCACUUAUAGAUGGAUCCGCGCCGCAUUAGCUAGUUGGUAAGGUAACGGCUUACCAAGGCAACGAUGCGUAGCCGACCUGAGAGGGUGAUCGGCCACACUGGAACUGAGACACGGUCCAGACUCCUACGGGAGGCAGCAGUAGGGAAUCUUCCGCAAUGGGCGAAAGCCUGACGGAGCAACGCCGCGUGAGUGAUGAAGGUCUUCGGAUCGUAAAACUCUGUUAUUAGGGAAGAACAAAUGUGUAAGUAACUAUGCACGUCCUGACGGUACCUAAUCAGAAAGCCACGGCUAACUACGUG
rnacentral:rRNA from 1 species